AGUUAGGGCGAUUAGAGACUUACCCUCUCCCAGGUCGCAAAGGAAAGCGCCUGUUUUGACACUGUCUGUUUCUUUGCAAUAAACUUUUGUAUAUAUGCAUUAAGACAUUUGUCAGCGAGGAUUUUUUCCCAAGAACACAUCACUGAAUACACCUUAAAUUUUGGCGUCACGGAUUGAGACAGCUUGUGAUGACUGCAGCCUGACGACUCGACGGUCCAGCUUUCUGCUCAGAGGCCAGUAAAGAGGUCUUAGUCAGGCAGAAUCCAGGAUCUGUGAAUACAUGAGGAAGAUGGCUCCCCAAAAUGCUCCAAGAAUGCCUCAGCUGUCUGAAGACAUAUGGUGAAGGAAAAAAGGAAGAGCUCCCAACUACAGGAACUACAGUAUCAUGGAUGAACAAGUCCCUGCAUGCAUCGACAGAUAGAAGAAGUGGCUGACAUCAAGAAAUACUCUUAAGUGCAUGUCUUUUGUCCUGUCCUUCUCCCCUCAUCCCAACCCGG